UUGGAGGGCAAGUCUGGUGCCAGCAGCCGCGGUAAUUCCAGCUCCAAUAGCGUAUAUUAAAGUUGUUGUGGUUAAAAAGCUCGUAGUUGAAUUUCGGGGUUAGUAGGUUGGUCAUGCCUCUGGUAUGUACUGGUCUCACUGAUUCCUCCUUCCUUAUGAACCGUAAUGCCAUUAAUUUGGUGUUGCGAGGAAUUUGGACUGUUACUUUGAAAAAACUUAGAGUGUUUAAAGCAAGCUAACGCUUGAAUACAUUAGCAUGGAAUAAUGAAAUAGGACG
rnacentral:rRNA from 1 species